CGCGGUAAUACUGGCAGAACGAGUGGUGUCCACGAAUAUUGGGUCUAAAGAGACCGUAGCUGGUCCGUUAAGUCCACUGUGAAAUCUUGGGGCUCAACCUCAAGGCGUGCAGUGGAUACUGGCAGGCUUGAGAGCGGGGGAGGUCAGGAGUACUUACGGGGUAUGAGUAAAAUCAGUUGAUCCUGUAAGGACUACCAGUGGCGAAGGCGCCUGACCAAAACGCGUCUGACAGUGAGGGUCGAAGGCUAGGAGAACGAAUCGGAUUAGAUACCCGAGUAGCCCUAGCAGUAAAUCAUGCAGACUGUGGUGUUGCUAUGGCUUCGGGCCAUAGCAGUGCUGUAGCGUAGGUGUUAAGUCUGCCACCUGGGGAGUACGGCCGCAAGGUUGAAACUUAAAGGAAUUGGCGGGGGAGCACCACAAGGGGUGGAUGCUGCGGUUCAAUUGGAUUCAACGCCGGGAA
rnacentral:rRNA from 1 species